CCUCAUGGGGGCCUUUGCCUGUCUACCCUGGGGUGGUCAACUCAGAAUUACCUGAGGAUCUCAAGACAUCUAUCACCAGGCAUCUUCUCAACAUGCAUCUCGACCCCAAAUGGCAAGCUCAACUGAACCAAUACAUGGUGUCCAAAUUUGUGCCGGUUACACUGGAUCAGUACAAAGGAUUGUUCAAAUAAACAAACAAAUGUUCCAAUAAACCAAAAAGGGAAACCGACGAUUAGUGCAUUAUGAAAUAUAUUGCAUUAUUAUAAUAUAACAAUUGUAACAAAAUAAUGAGACAGUGUUAUAUU
rnacentral:lncRNA from 1 species